GCGCCCGAGGACCGAAGCUGCCCGCGCCCUCCGGCACUGUGCCGUGACCUGCCCGGGAGCGCAGACCUGACUCGGCUCGACCGAAACUGAUGCAUGUUUUACUCCCAGCCUAGUACCCAAAAAAAGGGGAAAGGAAAACAAGAAUCUUUGUGCCUGCCCUUUGCAUGACCCAGGACUCCGGUGCCAAUGAAAAGAACACAAUCCUGAGGCCAAACUCAGCCUCUACCCUGGACAUCACAGAAUCCUGAAUAGACUUCGGAAGAGCUGUGACCUAGGAUGGAGGCUGUCAAUCAAGGGGCACUGCCUCCCCUCAGAAGGCUGGGAAGGAUGGGAGACGCCAACCCCGUGCUUCUCAGUCUCUCCUGAAGGUCUAACGCCGGCCACCCUGCAGUGCAGAUCACAGUUAUCCGUGGUCUUCUAGUUUGCUUCAUCUUGAAUUCUCCUGCCUUAGGUCUGCCAGUGAAAUAAUGGAAACUUUCCGGGAGCAAGAAGCUAAAAGAUUUUUGUCAAGACAAAUGCUCAGCAUAAGGAAAAUGAAGGUAAAUUAACUAACACCAGAGACCACAGCUGCUAGGUCAAUGUAGGAUGAGCUGUAAGAAACAAGUGACAUCGUGAAGCCCUGGUACUGGACAAGAAGUUAAUGUUUAUAUUGAGAACAGAAGGAAUUCCACACAUGCAGCUGAGAGCUGGAGAAAGUAGAGAGCAGAAACCAGACACCCUCCUGCGUGCCUGUCACUCUUGAGCACUGAGGGCCUCUGAAGGUCCCGAGGCCUGGGCCACGCGGGUAUGUGGUGGUGACCCC
rnacentral:lncRNA from 1 species